GCCGCGGUAGCUCAGAGGUAGAGCAGGAGCCUGAAGAGCUUUGUGUCGGUGGUUCGAUUCCGCCCCGCGGCA
rfam:Microgenomates (Roizmanbacteria) bacterium GW2011_GWA2_32_13 TR23_C0036, whole genome shotgun sequence.